ACGAUAAGUGACGUAACGCGCAUGCGCGCCGUGAUAUAUAUAUACUGUCUUGCCGGUAACGUGCCGCCAUUUUGAGUUCGGUGACUAGCUACUUGGACACGGGAUUUGUAUCGUUCUCGUUUAUUGCAGAUUUCCAAGAAUUCAACUAAGGAUCGGAGAAGAACAGGAGAGAAUAAGAUGGAGAGAAGGUAUCAUCCGCGCUUUGUAAGCCAUUGUAGGAUACUAACGUCGUAUAAAUAAGGAAUCAACCUAAACCCAUAAAUAUCAACUUACCGAACAUGGACGAGCGUUUUCAUCAGAGAGUUAUCAGAGAGCUUCUAAAGUAAAAGAAAAAUCAAGCAGGAGGAGGAUUCAGCAAGCUGACAAGGAAAAAAAAAGAAAAAGAGAAAGAAGUAGUAGAAGAAGAAGAAGAAGAGAAAAAAGAGGAAGAAGAAGAAGAAGAAGAAGAAGAAGAAGAAGAAGAAGAGGGAGAUGGAAGACGAAUAAGGAAAAAGAGACAACGAUAAUGACAACAACGAACGGCUAGUUCGAGAUUUGAUGGACUUCCCGUAGAAGAACAAGCCAUGCCUCUCAAUAAUGUAGUAAACACAAAGAUACACAGUAUAUACAUGAGAGCAUACGUUUAUAUAUAUAUAUAUAUAUAUAUAUAUAUCUAACACACUCUUUCGAUGGUGUAUAGUAGUAGUGGAAAGAGAGAGAGAGAGACAGAUUGUUAUAUCUUUCUUUUUUCUUCCUAUUCUCCUCCUCUCUCUCUCUCUCUCUCUCUCUCUCAGAUGGACAACAUACACAAAGACAAAACAUAGUUUUUCUGUUCAGAAAACUUAGCAAGAGAAUGAGUGAGCAAGCGAGCGAGAAAGAGAGAGAGAGAGAGAGAGAGGAGGAUUAAAGUGAGAGAAAAAAAGAGGAUAGAAAGAGGGAGGGGUGAAAAGAGACUGAGAUAGAUGGGGAUGCAAGCCGUGCGAGAGUAAGAGAGAGAGAGAGAGAAAGAGAGAGAGGGACUGAGUGAGAAAGAGAAAAAAAGAAAGAGAGAGAGAGAGUUAGUAUGUAUGUAUGUAUGUAUGUAUGUAUGUAUGUAUGU